rnacentral:rRNA from 1 species
AUUGAACGCUGGCGGCAGGCUUAACACAUGCAAGUCGAGCGGAGAUGAGGUGCUUGCACCUUAUCUUAGCGGCGGACGGGUGAGUAAUGCUUAGGAAUCUGCCUAUUAGUGGGGGACAACAUUCCGAAAGGAAUGAUAAUACCGCAUACGUCCUACGGGAGAAAGCAGGGGAUCUUCGGACCUUGCGCUAAUAGAUGAGCCUAAGUCGGAUUAGCUAGUUGGUGGGGUAAAGGUCUACCAAGGCGACGAUCUGUAGCGGGUCUGAGAGGAUGAUCCGCCACACUGGGGCUGAGACACGGCCCAGACUCCUACGGGAGGCAGCAGUGGGGAAUAUUGGACAAUGGGGGGAACCCUGAUCCAGCCAUGCCGCGUGUGUGAAGAAGGCCUUAUGGUUGUAAAGCACUUUAAGCGAGGAGGAGGCUACUGAGACUAAUACUCUUGGAUAGUGGACGUUACUCGCAGAAUAAGCACCGGCUAACUCUGUGCCAGCAGCCGCGGUAACAC